CUCAACUAGAAGAUCUGUGUUGUGCUAGAAACCGGAAGAAUAAAGAGGAUAUUGGUUGUUCCUGUGCAGUCCGAGCCAAUGGAAAGGAUCUUCAUUCUAUUGGUGUUCGUCACCGCCGGAGACGCAACAGUCAAUAUAAAAGAUGUUACCUAUAACUUGGGAAUACUUCCCAUAAAUCUUGGAUAUGCCAAGCUGCAAAAAUCCAGUCAUACUUUUGUUCAUUUUUAUAAUUUAAGUCCACUAAUCGUAGAAUAUAAUAAGUAAAGUAUACAAUAUAAUAUUAUGUUAAAUAUAAUAUGUCUAAUAAUACAUUUUUUCAUUCUGAAACAGAAAAUAUUAUAAAUAUAAUAGAGUACACU